UAGGGGGCAAGCGUUAUCCGGAUUUACUGGGUGUAAAGGGAGCGUAGACGGCCAUGCAAGUCAGAAGUUAAAGCCCGGGGCCCAACCCCGGGACUGCUUUUGAAACUGCGAAGCUGGAGUGCAGGAGAGGUAAGCGGAAUUCCUGGUGUAGCGGUGAAAUGCGUAGAUAUCAGGAGGAACACCAGUGGCGAAGGCGGCUUACUGGACUGUAACUGACGUUGAGGCUCGAAAGCGUGGGGAGCAA
rnacentral:rRNA from 1 species